AGGACGAACGCUGGCGGCGUGCUUAACACAUGCAAGUCGAACGGUGAAGCCCUUCGGGGUGGAUCAGUGGCGAACGGGUGAGUAACACGUGGGCAAUCUGCCCUGCACUCUGGGACAACACCGGGAAACCGGUGCUAAUACCGGAUAUGACGCAUUCUCGCAUGGGGGUGUGUGGAAAGCUCCGGCGGUGCAGGAUGGGCCCGCGGCCUAUCAGCUUGUUGGUGGGGUGAUGGCCUACCAAGGCGACGACGGGUAGCCGGCCUGAGAGGGCGACCGGCCACACUGGGACUGAGACACGGCCCAGACUCCUACGGGAGGCAGCAGUGGGGAAUAUUGCACAAUGGGCGCAAGCCUGAUGCAGCGACGCCGCGUGAGGGAUGAAGGCCUUCGGGUUGUAAACCUCUUUCAGCAGGGAAGAAGCGUGAGUGACGGUACCUGCAGAAGAAGCACCGGCUAACUACGUGCCAGCAGCCGCGGUAAUACGUAGGGUGCGAGCGUUGUCCGGAAUUAUUGGGCGUAAAGAGCUCGUAGGCGGCUUGUUGCGUCGGAUGUGAAAGCCCGGGGCUUAACCCCGGGUCUGCAUUCGAUACGGGCAGGCUGGAGUUCGGCAGGGGAGAUCGGAAUUCCUGGUGUAGCGGUGAAAUGCGCAGAUAUCAGGAGGAACACCGGUGGCGAAGGCGGAUCUCUGGGCCGAUACUGACGCUGAGGAGCGAAAGCGUGGGGAGCGAACAGGAUUAGAUACCCUGGUAGUCCACGCCGUAAACGUUGGGAACUAGGUGUGGGCGACAUUCCACGUUGUCCGUGCCGCAGCUAACGCAUUAAGUUCCCCGCCUGGGGAGUACGGCCGCAAAGCUAAAACU
rnacentral:rRNA from 1 species